GGAGAGAGAGAGAGAAUCAGCCUCCUAAAGUGAGACGGCUUGGUAUUUUCGUCUCCUCUAUUGGUGGAGCUACGGAGGUAUCUCCUGAAAGUCACGAAAAAAAAUUGGAAACAAACGGCAGAAGAGAGAGAGAGGGUGUGGCCUGUCCUUGAACCUUUGCACGGCAAAUAUAUGAGAAUGUUCCAGUUCAAAUAGACACUACAAACUGUCACUGGCCCUGAACUGGCCCCUGGUACCUCAGUUGUGCUGUUUCUUGAUGUAAUCAUUUUGAAAGAAUUUUAAGUUAAAAAUUGGAAUCUGAAUUUAAGUCAACAAGCAGCUGCAAAGUGUGGGACACCUAAUGCCAAAAACGGGAUCACAACUCCAUGGCAAGAUUCCUCCUUUACUUGGAAAGCUUGUAUUGCUUUAAAAGAAAAUAUAAAUCUGAAGAGGAAAAAUAACUAUAUGUGUGUAUAUGGAUCAAAAUGUAAGUCUUCAAUAACAGGACUUUAUGGGGUGUUAAAAAAAGCACCGCCCUAAAUCAGUGCCACAUUAAACUAGACACACACAAAAGGAGCAAAGGCGCGGAGAUUGAACUGCAGCUUUCAUCACUCCACUGGCACAAAUUUUAAAUUCAAAUGCAUACAGAAGAACUUAUUAUGUGAUAAAGAUGCCAUUUCAAAUUCACGUGCAAGGAUGCUUGGUUACCUCACAUCAUUUGCCAAAUAAAUUCCAGAUGCGAAAAAUUAAAAAUAUAAAAUGAAACAAAUUAAAAACAUAUAAAUAAAUAUUUAGGUUUAGCAUAAAAGCAAAGGAAAAAAUUGUAAAGGAAAAUGUUGAAAACUUCUGUGUAUGAAUAUUGCCAUAAAAGCAAAUGAUAAACUGGGAAAAAUACUUGUAGCAUAGACAACUGACAAAAUAAGUGAGACAUUUUUUAAAAAGUCUAUGAGCAUUUGAAAAAGAAAGUUUCAUCUUAUUACUAAUCAAAGGAUUGCACAUUUUUUAAGAUGAAAAAUUCAGCUAUACAAUUGACAAUAUUUUAAAAAAUUUAUUACACUCAAUGUUGUCAAAAGUACUUUGUAGUAUAGAACUAUUCUGUUAUUUAAAAUUAUUUCUUUAAAAGAUAUUCAAUAACAUAGAAAAAUGUUCAUAUCAAAUUCAGAUUACAAAUAGAGUUUAAAUAAUAAUCCAGAUUUAUCUCUCUCUCUCUCCAGAAGGAUAUUACUCGAAAGUUUUAAUAGUGACUAUUUGUAUUACCAGAGUUAUUGAUGAUAAUUUCCUUCUUCAUUCAUUUCUGUAUUUUUUAACUUUUUGAAAAUGAAACAUUGCAA